rnacentral:lncRNA from 10 species
AAGAAAUUGAGAAAAGGGUAGGAAAGCAGAUGUGAAUGGCAAAACUGGUGGGGAGAGGCACCCCAGGCCAUGGGCUGGAGCAGAGGGCCUGGCAGGGGUGGUGGGAGAGGCAGCAGGGGGAAGAGCAGUCAGCAAAGUGGCUACAGAGGUCAGCAGGGAGCUCCUGAGGACCAAGGGUGGCCUGGGAAGGUCUGGGGACUAGAUCCUGAGGGCAGUGGGGUGGUCACUGUAGGAUUUCAAGGGAGUCAGAUUUGUGUUCUAGAAAGGUUGUCACCAUAUGGCCUGACCAUAUGCCAGUCUGGUUCAUUACUGUUUUCCUAGCACCUAGCUCAGUGCCAGCACACAGUAGAUGUUCAGUAAAUGCUUUGAAUCAAUACACAGAUGCCAGCGGUGUAUCCAGAGGCAAUGGUUAACUCCUGUGGGGGUCCUUCAGCUUCAGUUUCCUCCUUUGUGAACGAGGGCACUGGCACCUGCCUGGUGGGCAUGUUGUGAUGGUGAAGGGAGCAUGGCAGUUUGGGCUUGCUGUCCUGCACACGGUCAGCGCUCUGUAAUGGCAGCUUUUAUAAAACGUGUGGAGGAUGUGCCAAGGGGAACAUGGGGGCAAGGACCCUGGACAGGAGUGGUCAAGUCAGCCAGAGGAGAGAGAAUAAUGAUGACAACAGUGACGUUGAUCAAAGGCUGAAGUUCUUCAUGUAUUUCAUUCAUGUCAUCCUCAACACAGUGAAGGAAGACGGCACCGUAGUUAUCCCUGUGUUAUUUUCCAGGAGGCGGCGGCUCAGAGAGGAGUGACUCGCCUGAAGCCCCGUGAACAAUGCAUGGUGGACGGAAGUACAUGGAAUGCCAGAGCCAGGCUGGUGACUAGUGCUGGUGGUGGGGACUGGUCAAGGCGGCCGCCAGGGAAGGGAUGUGAGGACACGGUCUAGACUGAUGGACCAGAUGGCGGGGGCAGGCACAGGGGGAGGGAGGUUUCCAGGACACCCCUCAGUUUCUGGCCCAGGUGACCAGGUGGAAGGUCAUUCCAUCUCCUGAGUGAGGGACACAGCAGGACAGACAGGCUUGGGGAGGGACUGUUGGGAUGUCUGGAGUCUAGGAGAGGAUCCAGGCGGGGGAUGGAGGGGAGGGCGGAAUGAGCUCAUGGGGCAAGUGGAAGGCUUGUGGGCGGUGGAAAAGCUCCAGCCCCCGGACACCUAGCCAAGGUCAAGUAAUAACGACAGUAGACGUUACAUAGCCUUGACUCUGUACAGACCUCAUCCUGCAUCCUUACGUUAACUCAUUGAACCCUCCCAACCAUUAUCAAAUUGGAGGUACCAUUAUCACCCCCAUUUUAUAGUUGGGGAAACUGAGGCAAGAGACAUUAAGUCUGCAAUAUUGGAAUAGGCAAAUCUGUAGAGAAAGGAAUGUGGGUGAGUGGUGGGCUGGGGCUGGGGGCUGGGAAGGAUCAUGGCUAACGGGCACAGGCUUUCUUUUUUGGGUGAUGAAAAUAUUCUAAAAUGACUGUGAAAAUAUUGCACAACUCUGUGAACAUGUGAAAACCCACUGAACUGUAUGCUCUAACUGUAUGAAUUGUAUGGUAUUUGAAUUUCACCUCAAUAAAGCUGUUAUCAAAAAGCAA